AGGAAUGAAGGUUAUGAGAUCUGGGAAACGAUUGAAAGGCUCAAACUUGGGUUUGGUUUUCGGUGGCAAGAGGAAUGAGAUUUUGUGGCCUCUCUGCGCAAGUUUGUUGGAGAGAUGGAGAAAUGAGGUAAGGUGGCCUAAGGCAAACCAUGGGUACAUGGCUAUGUGAAAGGUUUGUUGGUCAGCCAUGAUUUACUGCAUUGUAGCUCAUGAA
rnacentral:misc_RNA from 1 species